GACGAACGCUGGCGGCGUGCUUAACACAUGCAAGUCGAACGGUGAUGCUCCAGCUUGCUGGAGUGGAUCAGUGGCGAACGGGUGAGUAACACGUGAGCAACCUGCCCCAGACUCUGGAAUAAGCGCUGGAAACGGCGUCUAAUACUGGAUACGAAACUGGCCCGCAUGGGCAUGGUUUGGAAAGUUUUUCGGUUUGGGAUGGGCUCGCGGCCUAUCAGCUUGUUGGUGAGGUAAUGGCUCACCAAGGCGACGACGGGUAGCCGGCCUGAGAGGGCGACCGGCCACACUGGGACUGAGACACGGCCCAGACUCCUACGGGAGGCAGCAGUGGGGAAUAUUGCACAAUGGGCUAGAGCCUGAUGCAGCGACGCCGCGUGAGGGAUGACGGCCUUCGGGUUGUAAACCUCUUUCAGCAGGGAAGAAGCGAAAGUGACGGUACCUGCAGAAGAAGCACCGGCUAACUACGUG
rnacentral:rRNA from 1 species